rnacentral:rRNA from 1 species
UACGGAGGGGGCUAGCGUUGUCCGAAGUUACUGGGCGUAAAGCGCGCGUAGGCGGGUUGGUAAGUCCGCUGUGAAAGCCCGGGGCUCAACCCCGGGUCGGCCGUGCGAACUGUCGAGCUGGAGCACUGUAGAGGCAGGUGGAAUUCCGGGUGUAGCGGUGGAAUGCGUAGAGAUCCGGAAGAACACCGGUGGCGAAGGCGGCCUGCUGGGCAGUGGCUGACGCUGAGGCGCGACAGCGUGGGGAGCAAACAGG